rnacentral:rRNA from 1 species
UACAGAGGUCCCGAGCGUUGUUCGGAAUUACUGGGCGUAAAGGGCGCGUAGGCGGCCUGCUAAGUCGAACGUGAAAUCCCCGAGCUCAACUCGGGAACUGCGUCCGAUACUGACAGGCUUGAAUCCGGGAGAGGGAUGCGGAAUUCCAGGUGUAGCGGUGAAAUGCGUAGAUAUCUGGAGGAACACCGGUGGCGAAGGCGGCAUCCUGGACCGGCAUUGACGCUGAGGCGCGAAAGCUAGGGGAGCAAACGGG